CCGCCCCGCGCCCGCCGCCCCGACCCGCGUGGCGGUGCGACAGGGAUGCGGUCCGCCCCUGCCCUGGAAAAUGCCUGAGUGAAACCGGAGCGACUACCGCCCAGCCACGUCACCGUCCCGCAUCUGCGACCUAGAAGCGGGUGAGCUGCCGCCGCCUCCAACCUCCCGGCGCAGUGGACCUGCAUGCGGCCAGGCCGCCGCUCGGGAGGCCAGAGAGCGGGGCUCACCCUCCUCGAACUCUACGGCAGAGAGCCGAGUGAUGAAUAAACGAGUAACCACAUCAA